ensembl:lncRNA
GUGUGCAGCUUCAUCCAGCCCUAGGCACCAGUCAGUCUAACUCGGGCCAGGUCAGGCUGUUUAAACCAGCCAUCAUCCACAAUUACAAUCAAUGACUUGCCAGGAAGCCAGUCCCAGCUCCACCCUGACCUGUAGCUCCGCCUCCCCGCGAUCGGACAGCCCCACCUCCUCCUCCUCCAACAACAUGAUACCCACUACCGGGGCGCCCCCCUCACCGGGUCCCCAUUCUGGCCCUCCGGCACCCAGCGCCCCCUUUGGGCCCAGGAGUGUCUCGGGGGCCCCUCACCCCGGGCCGGCCCCCAGCCCGGGGCUCUGUCCUGGGGGCAGCCCCUGGCCCGGCCGGAGCCCCACCUCCACCCUGGAGAGCAAGGACAGCGGCAUCAUAGCCACCAUCACCAGCUCGUCGGAGAACGAGGAGCGGGGCUCUAGUGUGGAGCUAGCCCGAGAGGAGGGCAGCGCUGCCGCCCCGGACCCCCCCCCCGCCCGGCUCGCUACGGAACAAUCUGGCGCUCCUCAAAGACCAGGCGGAGACAGGACCAGACAUCACAGCGCCCAGGACUCCACCCCCGCCCAAGAGGCCCCUCCCACAACGCAAUGCCCACACCACCUCCUCCUUGGUGCUGCCGCG